GGACAAUGGCCCGGCCCCUCUAAAGAAGAAAAUACAGACAACAUUCAAUACAACUUACCAAUUGAAACAUUUGACUGCCCAGCGUCCACCAUCAGACACAGGACGCGGCACAGAAAAAUCACCGAAACCGCUGUGCUGCAUGACCAGUCAGAGGGAGCCGUUUGGCCUGCAGCACAUUAAGUGACCACAGUCUACUUGAUUUUUAAUAGGCUGAAGAUACAGGAGGAGUGAGCUCUGUGGGGGAGGCCACUGGAGCAGUGCUUUGGUGUGCAAAAUGAGGUGCCUCCCUGGGUUCCACCUACCUGUCAGAAGAGAGCAGUUGAACAGGCCUCUCAGAAAACCCUACCUUGAAAUGGCAGUAAAUCAUCUGGUGCUUUGCCUGGCAAAGUUGUGCUCUCUGCCAGGAGGCCGAAUGUGGUAAUUGCUUGUGUUUCUUGCUCUGAGUGAUAAAUAAAUAACAGAU